rnacentral:rRNA from 1 species
GACGAACGCUGGCGGCGUGCUUAACACAUGCAAGUCGAACGGAAAGGCCCUGCUUGCAGGGUACUCGAGUGGCGAACGGGUGAGUAACACGUGGGUGAUCUGCCCUGCACUUCGGGAUAAGCCUGGGAAACUGGGUCUAAUACCGGAUAGGAGCCAUUUUUAGUGUGAUGGUUGGAAAGUUUUUUCGGUGUAGGAUGAGCUCGCGGCCUAUCAGCUUGUUGGUGGGGUAAUGGCCUACCAAGGCGGCGACGGGUAGCCGGCCUGAGAGGGUGGACGGCCACAUUGGGACUGGGAUACGGCCCAGACUCCUACGGGAGGCAGCAGUGAGGAAUAUUGCACAAUGGGCGCAAGCCUGAUGCAGCGACGCCGCGUGGGGGAUGACGGCCUUCGGGUUGUAAACUCCUUUCGCUAGGGACGAAGCUUUUUGUGACGGUACCUAGAUAAGAAGCACCGGCUAACUACGUG